AAAAACUCAAUCACAAAACAAUAGUCUUAAAAAUGAAGCUUCAUUUACACUAAGCUUUAAAGUUCAAGCACUGAAGCAAAAAAAACACCAUAUUAAAGCAUUCCCUCAAGAUGUGACUAAGACUAAGCAAAGUACUCUUCAAAAUGAUAUAUAGGUUUGAGUGUGGAGUUGGCAGCAGCUGCAACUAAAGUUGUUCACAAUCCUAAAAUAUGAUUCACUUGAAUGUAAAUGACUUUGUUUUCAAUGGCGUUAGUAACACAAAGCUUGACUGUAACCCCUUCAAUAAAUCUUCUUGCUUUGCCAAAAUUUCCCCAGCCUCUAUGAAACAAAAUUUAGGAGAUGUUUCUUCAAACCUAAAGUUGCACUUCCAGGUAUUUGACCAUUGCAAUCAGCACAAAUUCAAUAUCUGUCUUGUUAACCUAAAGUUGCACUUCCAGGUAUUUGACCAUUGAUCUAUUACAGAGAAAAGUAAUGUAAUUAAACAAUUUUUUUAAAUCAUUAGCAAAUAUUGAAUUUAGGCACUUAUAAUCAUUUUAUUACAUAUGUAGUACAUACCAAUACACCGGAUUUAAUAUCUUCAGCAGUCUAAGUCUUAACGUAUGCAUGAUAAAAAGCCAUUGGAAAUUUGUGCCUCGUCGCACCACCAACAUUGUGAGUUAGUCCAUUGUUAAGAUUGUAAUUGAGAAUAGGAUGGUUCAAUGUGAACCUCAUGGGAGGAUUGCUCGUAGGAGGGUUGAUCUCAUUCCCAAGUCUAUCCUUGAUCCUUACAAUGACAAACCUUUGGGGUGUUGUAUGGCACAAUGGCAUCCAACCACCAAACUUUAUACCCUAAAAAUUUCAAGCAUAACCACCCAUCUGUGAAGAAAACGUCUCCUUCCUCUUUGUGUACUCUUACUUCAAAUUCAUUUCCACUUAGAUCAGUUAAAACAAUAGUUUUUAACUGACAAACCAAAG
rnacentral:lncRNA from 1 species